ACGGGUGAGUAACACGUAUCCAACCUGCCGUCUACUCUUGGACAGCCUUCUGAAAGGAAGAUUAAUACAAGAUGGCAUCAUGAGUUCACAUGUUCACAUGAUUAAGGGUAUUCCGGUAGACGAUGGGGAUGCGUUCCAUUAGAUAGUAGGCGGGGUAACGGCCCACCUAGUCUUCGAUGGAUAGGGGUUCUGAGAGGAAGGUCCCCCACAUUGGAACUGAGACACGGUCCAA
rnacentral:rRNA from 1 species